GACGAACGCUGGCGGCGUGCUUAACACAUGCAAGUCGAACGGAAAGGCCCUGCUUUUGUGGGGUGCUCGAGUGGCGAACGGGUGAGUAACACGUGAGUAACCUGCCCUUGACUUUGGGAUAACUUCAGGAAACUGGGGCUAAUACCGGAUAGGAGCUCCUGCUGCAUGGUGGGGGUUGGAAAGUUUCGGCGGUUGGGGAUGGACUCGCGGCUUAUCAGCUUGUUGGUGGGGUAGUGGCUUACCAAGGCUUUGACGGGUAGCCGGCCUGAGAGGGUGACCGGCCACAUUGGGACUGAGAUACGGCCCAGACUCCUACGGGAGGCAGCAGUGGGGAAUAUUGCACAAUGGGCGGAAGCCUGAUGCAGCAACGCCGCGUGCGGGAUGACGGCCUUCGGGUUGUAAACCGCUUUCGCCUGUGACGAAGCGUGAGUGACGGUAAUGGGUAAAGAAGCACCGGCUAACUACGUGCUAGCAGCCGCGGUGAUACGUAGGGUGCGAGCGUUGUCCGGAUUUAUUGGGCGUAAAGGGCUCGUAGGUGGUUGAUCGCGUCGGAAGUGUAAUCUUGGGGCUUAACCCUGAGCGUGCUUUCGAUACGGGUUGACUUGAGGAAGAUAGGGGAGAAUGGAAUUCCUGGUGGAGCGGUGGAAUGCGCAGAUAUCAGGAGGAACACCAGUGGCGAAGGCGGUUCUCUGGGCCUCUCCUGACGCUGAGGAGCGAAAGCGUGGGGAGCGAACAGGCUUAGAUACCCUGGUAGUCCACGCUGUAAACGGUGGGUACUAGGUGUGGGGUCCAUUCCACGGGUUCCGUGCCGUAGCUAACGCUUUAAGUACCCCGCCUGGGGAGUACGGCCGCAAGGCUAAAACUCAAAGGAAUUGACGGGGCCCCGCACAAGCGGCGGAGCAUGCGGAUUAAUUCGAUGCAACGCGUAGAACCUUACCUGGGUUUGACAUGGAUCGGGAGUGCUCAGAGAUGGGUGUGCCUCUUUUGGGGUCGGUUCACAGGUGGUGCAUGGCUGUCGUCAGCUCGUGUCGUGAGAUGUUGGGUUAAGUCCCGCAACGAGCGCAACCCUUGUUCACUGUUGCCAGCACGUUAUGGUGGGGACUCAGUGGAGACCGCCGGGGUCAACUCGGAGGAAGGUGGGGAUGACGUCAAGUCAUCAUGCCCCUUAUGUCCAGGGCUUCACGCAUGCUACAAUGGCUGGUACAGAGAGUGGCGAGCCUGUGAGGGUGAGCGAAUCUCGGAAAGCCGGUCUCAGUUCGGAUUGGGGUCUGCAACUCGACCUCAUGAAGUCGGAGUCGCUAGUAAUCGCAGAUCAGCAACGCUGCGGUGAAUACGUUCCCGGG
rnacentral:rRNA from 1 species